AAAGACUUUUUGUUGAAUUAAAACUACCAAGCACUGAUGAUAGCAGAUCUUAGUGAUGGAAGGUACACGCCCAUGCAGCCUUGUGAAGCAACUGGGACCACAAGGCCACAGAGUCCCCUGAUACCCAAGUCUCAUUUCCUCAAGGACCCAGCAGACUGAGGACAUCUGCAAAAUUCCUAAGGUAUGGUGGCAAAGGGGCAUAGCCCAGGCACGGCUGCAGCUGGCAAGAAUGAGGGAUGCACAAAAGGCAGGCCAAGGGUUCAUGGCAAAGUGCACAGUGAUGCCACUGCAGCCUGGGUUGUGGGGGCUCACUUCUCCCUGAUGCUCUUAUAAACACACAGAUUGGGGAGAAACAAAACCUUGUGAAAUGUUUGAAGUGAGCCUUGUAAAGGAUUCCAGUGAAAACUUUUAUGAAAACUUUGUCCCUCACACUAAGCAGCGUAGACACGUGUGUUCACUACAGGAACAGCUGACUGUGAGCUCCUUUCGCGGAGCUGCUGAAAACCAGAGGUAGGCAGGAACGUGUCCUGCUGGGAGAUGAGUCACACAAGGUGACUGAGGUGCUGUGACAGGGGAAUGCAAAGCAUUUUUCUUUUUCCUAGGCUAGAGUGAAAGACUACAGUGAACUCUAACACCCCAGCAAGGCUCCACCUUCUCCUAUCAGAGCUACGGGACACCCAACCUGGGCCGCACGCAGUCUUCUCUGCAGUUGGGACAGGUGUCUAAACUGGCCUUGCUUUCCCACAGCCCGCUUUCCAGUUCUCAGAUCGCCAUGCUUGUGGUGCCCCGUCUUCUAGUAAAUCCUGGAACAAAUCCAUCUGCACCAGGCCCUGUGUGCCUGGCACCUGGGUAUGGGAAAGGAGCAAGUACCCCAGUGAGCCCCACAACCCACAGGUUCAGCAUGGGGUUCAGUCCUAGACCAGUGCAGCUGUAAUCAAAUGUCCGGGUGUUCCUGCUGGGAGUCACAAGCCCUGUUAAGUCACAGAUUUUAUGAUGGCAUUUGGGGACACUAAGGCUUCCUGGUUCCACACAGAAGCUGUUUAGGGCUCAGAGGCCAAGUGAAUGAACCACCCCUCUGCUGCCACAGCGCUCGUGCUUCCUGUUUAGAGCCGCUCAGCACUGCUGCCCCCAAUCUGGCAGCUUCUAAGGGUCCGAGCCAUCCCUACCCAACAGAAACCACCCAGCCACCUUUUCCUCUGCAGCGCCGCUCUCUGCAGCCGGGAUCCACCACCCACUUUCUCACGGCCAUCUCUUCCAUCCCCAUGGCUCCAUGGACCUCAGAAUAAGGCAGAGCAGGUAAUAAAUGGUGCAUGCUACUCUGGCACUCCAGUACCAGGACAGAAGGGGUGGCUAAGGAAAUGUGGACUGGGCCCUGGUCUGAAAUGAGUGUCUUUAUUGCUUGUACCGUACAAAUACGAGGAGUAAGGAAAGGCCAGCAGGGAUGGGCGAAAACUCUCAGAUAAACAUACACACAUACAAAGUAAAAAACAGAUGACCCCCAUAACCAUCCCAACCACCCCACCCUACUGCCUUUCUGAAAUCCACCUAUUCUGGGGGUGUGGUGGGAGAGCAAAACCAGGAGAACUCAUUUCCAAAAACCCAGAGCUAUUGAGGAGGGAGAGACAUGGCCAGAGCAGCAGGCACAUCGCCUGCACUCACUGCACCCCGUGGGAUCAAACACUCAGGCUGGGGCUGAGCCUGAGCCCACUCACACAAGUGCUGCAUACAGCUGUGGGCACCAGCAUCCCAGGAGCCUGGGAUGCUCACUGCUAGGUCAGGUGCACACCCGCACCCACAGCACUGACACAACUCUAACUCAAACAUUCACUUUAAGGCUCCAGAACAGGUGCCCUGGAGAUGAGGCAGACUCCACCCCAUUGUGUAUCAGACACCUAUCCCCAUCUCUGUCCCCUCAGACCCCAGUCAAGUCCAAGGGGCCCAAUACUGUCUUGGUGUGAGAUGUGUAACAGCCAAGGUUGGCUUCCCUCUGCCCCAGGCAGAGAACGGAGCCAUCCAAAGGGGCCGAGCGGGAGGCAAGGCUGGCUAGAAGGAAGCCCUGGUAAGGCACUGGGCUGUGGGCAGGAGGGCUGCCCCCGAACAUUCCUCCUGCUUUAUUGAGAAUCAAGAGAGUAGCUUGGGAGGAAGAGGAAGGCAGCUCCUGCUCCUGGAUCCCCCUUGAAGAUCCAUUCUCCAUAGAAGCAAACCCAGACCCCUCAGCUUCCAAAGGCUUCUGCCUGUCCCUGGACAUUACUGCUUUUGUGCCCCAGGUGGGGUGGCAGCAGAUAAGAUUGCCCAGAGGACAGCAUGGAAGGCAGCUGAGGUGCUGGGAGUGAGGGGAACUUCUAGAUGUGUCCUCCGCUGGCGUGCCUCCAAAUCCAUGUGACCCCAUGGCUCCCCACUUCACCCUCUUGGAGGCUAGUGGUGAGGAAUGACCUCACUCUCCAUCCUCCCAACAGCCUGUCCCUGGGCGGUCCCCAGCGCUCACCUGGAACAGAGGGGAGCCCAGAGGAGAGGGCCGCCAGGACCACUAAGUCUGAGCAAGGACUGAAGAAGAAACUGGAUUUGGGAUGAGGGGACAGGGAAGGGAACACAAACCAAAAGGCAAAAUAAAGUUUUUUUUUUAAAAAGCCACCCAGGCAGUGGAUGACGGCCAUGCUUGUGUCCUGUGGUGGCAGAGGGCUGCUCACUCUCGGAUGCUGGCUGAGUAGGAGAACUGGGGGAAGUGCGUCCGCUGGUCCAGUUCCAGCGGGUCCAGGCUGUCAUCUGUAGGAUUGGGUGGAGAUUCAUGAAGAUGAAGGAGCAGCAGUCUUGCCCACCCCACCUCACUGGGAAAGCACCCAGAAAGGAAUAUGCUGGGACUCCAGGAAAGCCUGCACUAGAGUGGUGGCCCACAGCACUAGCGCCAGAGGCAAGCAGCUUGCUUCUGGAGAGGCCUUAGCUGUGGCUUCCUUCCCUGGCUGGGUCUUCUGAAUGUCUUUCCCCCUCCCCAGCACCCUCUACCACCAGGGUCUAGCCUGGCCUAUUCCCACCCAUACUCACUUGCACCAAGGGACUGUCAAUAGCCCUGGCGUAAUUCUGUCCCUAACACACAGAACACUUACUUACAGAAGUUCCCAUGGCUGAGGUCUCCUCCAUUUCCCAGGUGACCCCUAGAACUUUCUACUUUAACCCCCUGCCCCAUCUGCCUGUCCACUGCCUAUCCUUUUCCUGCAAGAUGCCCUCAUUGCUGGUACCCAGAAGCCACUCCUGCCCAGAAUGCACUUUUGGCUGCCACACAGCCAGGCCAGGUAGCUUCUCAGGCUUCCCUAGCCCUGGGAUCCCAGGAAAGCUGUGGGCUCUGGGCAGCCCAGGACAGGGGGACCCCCUGAGUGGCCGGCCUUGGAGUAGCUUCAGAUCAAGAACACAGUCCAAAGACCAGGGUGUCCCUAAACCCCAGAACAUACUUUAGCCAUAGUCCUUGACGAUCCUUACAGCAACAGCAGGCUUUGCAAGCGUAUCUUAGAGGAAAGUUGUCAGACACAGUAAAGACAGCCAACCAAGGUCCUCCUGGCAAGCAGAAGCCAGGCCAGACCGUAGCUACCUUUCGGCCAUCUAGUCAGACCCAGGGACCAUGGGGUCCCAGGUACUUACAUCGGUCUGGGGGUGUGAUUGUGAUGGACUGGGCGGUGAACUCGUCAUCAAAGUACCUUGUGUCCACUUCUGAAGUGACCUGAGGUUUGAAGGGUGGCAGGAGCUGUGGAGAGGAGCCCAGAGUCAGCAAUGGCAGGUCCCCAGUGGGCAGGUGAGGGCCCCUGAGGCAGGCAAGGGGACUCACCUUUUUCUGUACCACGUCCUGCCAGUUGAUGCUGAGGAAGAAUCUAUGCUCCAUGACCUCCUUCGCAUCACUGGGACCUCCGCCGAGCCUGGGCAGAGACAACCAUCAUCAACCACCCAGCACCCGAAACUGCAGGUUCUACAAGCCAGGCUCAAAGCAAAGGCACAUACAACCCACGGUCAAGGCCCCUGCACUGCACCGAGUUUGCUAGUCUCUCC
rnacentral:lncRNA from 1 species